rnacentral:tRNA from 1 species
GGUACCUUGGUCGAUCGGUUAGGCACCGGCCUGCAAAGCCGUGUAGAGGGGUUCGACUCCCCUAGGUACCU